GUCAUCUCUGCCAUCGCAAUGUGAUCACACACUCGUAAAUAUAAAUAGGUCAAUCCUGAAGCUAGCCCUUUAGGCAGUGCUGGCAGCGAGAUCUCUUACCAUGCUGAUACAACCCUGAAGACAAAUUCACAAUCAAUCACAUCAGUAGCGCAGCUCAGUAGCAGCAGCAGUGGAUAUUCAGUUUACAGGAGCUUCCGGGGAGAUAGCUUCUGAGAUAUCUUUGAUCUGCAGGAAGAAGUUUCAGAAACUGCAAGAGACCUUAGGCAUUCUCAUUCCCAGGAUGAUAUGAAGCUUCAAAUUGAGAGUAUGAAGGUCAAACUGCGACAUAUAUUCUACAGUUGUGGCUAUGGACAACUUUUGGCCAGUCCGGUGUAUUCUACAAUUGAGGCAAUGGAGCACUUUUGACCAGUCUAGUGUAUUCUACUGUUGUGGCACUGGAGUAGUCAUUAUCCACAAAACCAGGUUGAGAGGUAAUCAUCAGUGAACUGCUUUGGAAAGGCCUGAAAACAAGGAUGUGCAUAAAUAUCUUCUCUAUAUUGG